rnacentral:rRNA from 1 species
UACGGAGGGCGCAAGCGUUGUUCGGAAUUACUGGGCGUAAAGCGCGUGUAGGUGGCCUGAAAAGUCGGGUGUGAAAUCCCGGAGCUCAACUCCGGAACUGCAUCCGAUACUGCCAGGCUCGAGUCUCGGAGAGGAUGGCGGAAUUUCCGGUGUAGAGGUGAAAUUCGUAGAGAUCGGAAGGAACACCAGUGGCGAAGGCGGCCGUCUGGACGAUGACUGACACUGAGACGCGAAAGCGUGGGGAGCAAACAGG